rnacentral:rRNA from 1 species
AUUGAACGCUGGCGGCAGGCCUAACACAUGCAAGUCGAGCGGAUGACGGGAGCUUGCUCCUUGAUUCAGCGGCGGACGGGUGAGUAAUGCCUAGGAAUCUGCCUGGUAGUGGGGGACAACGUUUCGAAAGGAACGCUAAUACCGCAUACGUCCUACGGGAGAAAGCAGGGGACCUUCGGGCCUUGCGCUAUCAGAUGAGCCUAGGUCGGAUUAGCUAGUUGGUGGGGUAAUGGCUCACCAAGGCGACGAUCCGUAACUGGUCUGAGAGGAUGAUAAGUCACACUGGAACUGAGACACGGUCCAGACUCCUACGGGAGGCAGCAGUGGGGAAUAUUGGACAAUGGGCGAAAGCCUGAUCCAGCCAUGCCGCGUGUGUGAAGAAGGUCUUCGGAUUGUAAAGCACUUUAAGUUGGGAGGAAGGGCAGUAAGUUAAUACCUUGCUGUUUCGACGUUACCGACAGAAUAAGCACCGGCUAACUCUGUGCCAGCCGCCGCCGUAA